ACAAACAGACUCACCCAGACCCAGGUCCCUGGAGAGACUGCAGGGAAAGGCGGGGAGCUGGGGGCAGUGUGUACCUGGCUACCUUCAGCUCCCCGUUGAGUCCUCACUCCACAUCCUAGCUAGAGGACCAGCAGAGGCACACCCUGGGUGUACAUUUACAUCCUACUUGCUGGGUCAAAGUAGGUGGACACUGAUGGACACCCAGGGCCACACUAGGCAGGAGAGGCCCAAACCAUCGGCCUCACUGUUCUUCAUGGUCACUGGGAUCCCAACACUGCCCUCCCUCAGCAGGCCACACAGCCCUUCCAGCUUGGAAGAAUGUGAUGUGCUGUCCCUCAUUCUGCUCCUAGUUGAGUUCAAUCCAAUCUCUGCACCAUACCCCAAACACCUCACUGCCCCUAGAUCUACCCUGGGAUCCUUGGUGGCCAGAUGGAAAACAGAUGUUCCCAGUCCCACACUGCUUUAAAAGUUUACUCUCUCUGCCUCAGCCUGAGAGAGACACACCACCUGGACUCAGCUCUAUCUCUUCAGGGAUGGAGGAGCAGCAGCAGGGGAGAACCUGUGAAGGGUGGCAGUCACAGUUCAAAACCAGUGACAACCAUCCCUGAGGGCUGGGAAUAGCCUCCACCCCUCCCAAUUCCAGCAGCACAGGAAAGGGAAACAAAGGGCACACUCCGUAUAGUCACUUCCCAGCACAGAAAACUCUAUUGGAAGAAAGUACUUCUCCGCACAGACACUCCUACACCUGCCCCGACACACACAUGACACAUAGGUGUGGGCAGACACCUGCUUCCAAAGUGGAGAACCCAGUCCAGACACAGGAACCAGACCCAUGCUGCAGAGAGACCCACCCCCGGGUCUGUAGGGUCACCCUCCGCCUGUGUCAACUCACAACAAGGGACCAGGCUGGGGCUGGAACCUAUGUGGGUGAAGAGUGAGAUCGGCCUCAACAACUGGGGCCUGGUGCACACGGGCCAUCGGGUCCUGCCCGAGCCUGACUCCUGGGAAGGUCCCCAGAGUGGCGACAGCAGACUGUAGGUUGAGUGGGGCUGGGGUAAAAGUAGGUAGGAGGGUUUUCAAGGCUUGAGCAGAGUGUGAGCGGCCCCCACCUCCCGGCCGCUCAGCCAGGGGUUGUGGCCCCGAUGAGCUCAUGGGGGCGGGGCGCUGGGAGCCCCGCCCAUAGCCCCCUCAGUGCCCGGGAAGCUGGGUGGUCCCCGAAACAGCAGCCAGGAAGACUGCCUGAGCCCUCCGCAGAGAGGGGUCCGGGGUACGCGGCUCCGGCCGCACCAGUGACCAGCACGAAGCGGAGAAAGGCCGGAGGCUCUGGAGUGCCGGGGUCUGGCCUGACUGCAGGGCUGGGCCGCAACUGGCAGAGGGCCGACCCCCGGCUCGCUGCCCCACCCGGCUGUCCAGCAGCGCGGUGGCCCCGGACCCUCGCCCCGCGCCCGGAGCCCACAGGUGGCCUUACAACUUCGCCGCGGUGCGGCGGCCGCUCCGCCGGGCCUAGCGCGAAGCCUGCCCGAGGUGAUCAGGGAAUGCUGUCACCAAUGCUGAUACACCAAUAGUAAAGGUUUCCUACAUCUUCCCUCCAAGAAACACUGGAGGAUGAAUGAAAGGGCUGCUUCAACAGCAGAGCCCAGAUGGAGACCACGAGAGACCAGCUCCAGAAAUGCAAUCUUCACCCAGG